rnacentral:rRNA from 1 species
UCGGACCUCCAAUCAGGCAAGAAUACCCGCUGAAUUUAAGCAUAUUAUUAAGCGGAGGAAAAGAAACUAACAAGGAUUCCGUCAGUAACUGCGAGUGAAGCCGGAAGAGCUCAGACUGAAAAUCUUCGGAGUUGUAGUYUGGAGAGGUAGCGCCAGUGGGGUAAAGACGGGCAAAGUGUUGUGGAAUCAACCGCCGAGGAGGGUGAAAGCCCCGUUCAUGCCUGAAAUUUGCCCCCGUCGGUGCGCCUUYUACGAGUCGAGUUGUUUGGGAUUGCAGCUYUAAGUGGGUGGUAAAUUCCAUYUAAAGCUAAAUAUGGGUGGGAGACCGAUAGCGAACAAGUACCGUGAGGGAAAGAUGAAAAGAACUUUGAAAAGAGAGUUAAAUAGUACCUGAAAUUGCUGAAAAGGAAUCGAUAGGAAGCAGUGUUGGUUYGUCGUCAUYUUCUGGCUYUGCGUGCAGGGUUGGGCGUGGCGGCGGGCAUGUCAGGCUUCUUUGUGUGUGCGGGAAAGGGGGGGGGGUCUUCGGACCUGUCUUUCCUGUCGUGCGUGCGAAGGACCU